rnacentral:rRNA from 1 species
GAAUCUUCCGCAAUGGGCGAAAGCCUGACGGAGCAACGCCGCGUGAGUGAUGAAGGCCUUCGGGUUGUAAAACUCUGUCUUCAGGGAAGAAACAAAUGACGGUACCUGAGGAGGAAGCCACGGCUAACUACGUGCCAGCAGCCGCGGUAAUACGUAGGUGGCAAGCGUUGUCCGGAAUUACUGGGCGUAAAGAGCGCGUAGGCGGGAAUUUAAGUCAGGAGUGAAAACUAGCGGCUCAACCGGUAGCCUGCUUUUGAAACUGAAUUUCUUGAGGGUAUGAGAGGAAAGCGGAAUUCCCAGUGUAGCGGUGAAAUGCGUAGAUAUUGGGAGGAACACCAGUGGCGAAGGCGGCUUUCUGGCAUACAACUGACGCUGAGGCGCGAAAGCGUGGGGAGCAAAC